rnacentral:lncRNA from 1 species
CCGUUGCGGCUUCAAUCUUUUUAAUUGCAAUGUUGGGGAAACUAGAUUCGUCGUCGUAGUUUCAAUCUGUUCCACUACACCGCCAGGGGAGUAAGAUCCGUCAUUGCGGCUUUAAUCUGCUCCACUGUAAAGCCAAAGAGAUAGGAUUCGUUGCCCACAGCUUCAAUCCGCUCCACUUCAGCUAAUCCAAGCCUUAACG